UCGGGAUAGCUCAGCUGGUAGAGCAGAGGACUGAAAAUCCUCCGGGCC
rnacentral:tRNA from 1 species